rnacentral:pre_miRNA from 1 species
UAAGGCUCAUAUGCGCAAGACUAUGUUAAUGAUAUUAGUUUUGAUCAUGUAAGCCUUUAU